ACCCAAUCUCCCAAACAAGUGAGAAGAUAAGGAGCUUGGUAUCCUUGGUUUCAGCAUGUAGAAAGGAUGAUUGAAUUUUAAAGUCUUGUACCAAGAGGGAAUCGAUUUUUAAUUCAGAAUAUGUUGCCAAAAAGAGACUCAAGUUCAAAUCACCAAAAGAAAAGUCAGAACCAGAAUUCAGAGUCAAAAACAGGAAGGGAAUCCAGAAGAAGGAAUGUGCAGAAAGGAUAACGGUGAGCAGAGAGAAUGAAGGGAACCAAGCUUGGAAGAUGAGAACUCACGGUGCCAAUGCCCACAGUGGACUUUUAUGUAAUUUCCCGUCACUUGAGUGGAAAUGACAUGUGAAUUUCAAGGGACGAAAAUUCUCAGGAUAGAGAUUGUUCUGGGGAAAGUCUCUUUUGGAACCACUCAUUUCAAGGAGAAGGCACCAACCCUACAAUUGUAGCUGCUUGGCACAUACUGUUUGGUAAAAUCUAACCACAUGAGGAAGGCAGCCAAGAUGAGCUGGGACAGACUAACCUUGUUGUAUGUAUGCCAGCAGCUUUGAAUUAGCAUGGUCAAAGCACUUCCACCAAGAAAGGCAAGAUCUUCUCAAGAUGGCCAUUGACUGCAGGUAACUGAAACUGUGGAAAGUGAAACCACAAAUAAGUGGGGACCACUGUGCCUUCCUCUUUUGCCACUACCUCCCAAGAUGCCAGUACCAGGCAACCAGCACCCCUACUUUGGAGAUCUGGAUCCCAUGAUUCCCUCCUUUCAACUCGGAGACCCCAGUACCAGCCAAGUAGUGGCUCCUCCCCAGAGGUCUGAGUUUCAUCUCCGUGGGACUACUUCUCCAAUCAUCUAAAUUUUAAAGACGCGGUCUAGCUAUGUUGCCCAGGCUGAUCUCAAAUUCCUGCCUUCAAGCAAUCCUCCCCUCUCAGCCUCCCAAAGUGCUGGGAUUACAGGUGAGAGCCAUGGAACCUGGCCUUGGUAUUAUGAAUGCUAUUUUUCCAAGGGAAAGGCCAACCCUAUCCAUUUUUAAAACAAUAACACAGGAUUCUGUUAGUGAUAGCUUAUGGCUUCACACCAAAGAAGCAAAAAAGAUGGAAUGCUCAAAUUAUAUAAUAACUUCCAUUUAUGAAUUUUCACUAACACCAGACAUUCUGCUAACAGUCUUACUUAAUUCUUUCAUUUAAUCCUCACUACAACCCUAAGAGUUGAUUCUAUUAGUAUGUGUUUUAUAGAAGAAAAACUGAAAGUAUAAAGAUCAAAUUAUUUGCAGGGUUCCAGAGCUGGCAGGAGAGAAGCUUCAAUUUCAUUCUUUGCUGUCGAUAACUCUGACUUUCUUCCUCCUCAACUUAGACCAAGUCUUACCCACCUCAUCAGAGGCAGGAGAAAGUCAGCCCAAUGGCCCAGCCUCUCCUCUGCAAGGAUUGUCUCCCUCACCUCCUGGAAAAGUGAGCAGCUCCAGCGCUCUCCCAUAGUGCCUCCAGCAUCCAUCAGCCUAGCUGGCGAGUGUGCCCCCACCCCUGCCCCUGACUGUCACCAUCCACUUAGGGGAGAGAGGAACACAGGAGCCAAGAAUGCAGUGGAGCAUGGGCACUCCUCUGUGAUAAACACCCACAAAAAUUAAGCCAUUCUAGAGACGGCAGCGGCUGUUCAUACUUCAAAGGUUGUCUCUUUACACGUCUUCUCUGCCCUCCUUUUACAAAGUUUGAACAAUUCUAUUAAAGAGUUCAGGCCGGGUGCGGUGGCUCAUAUCUGUAAUCCCAGCACUUUGGGAGACUGAGGUGGGUGGAUCACCUGAGGUCAGGAGUUCCAGACCAGCCUGGCCAACAUGGUGAAACCUCAUCUCUAUUAAAAAUACAAAAAUUAGCCUGGCGUGAUGGCGCAUGCCUCUAAUCCCAGCUACUUGGGAGGCUGAGGUAGGACAAUCACUUGAACCUGGGAUGUGGAGGUUUCAGUGAGCCAAGAUUGCACCACUGCACUCCAGCCUGGGCAAUGAGAGCAAAACUCAGUCUCAAAAAAAAAAAAAAAAAAAAGAGGUCAGCAUUGUCUAAAUAUCAAUUAACCUGGGUGAAUAUGAACAUGCGAUCAAAGCGAAUCUUCUUAAACCCCUGAGAAACAGAUUCCUAUUACUGCAUUACAAAGAGAAUUAUGGUAGUGUUGACCAUGGCCUUGUGAAAAAGUCAGACAGUCUCAAAACUGUCAACCAAGAAGGCAGCUCAGUUACCUUUGGGGGCAUCUACAGUUGCAAUUUUGAAUAUUUUUCCAACAUUGUUCUUUCCUGAUUACCUGUCUUAUUAUAUCUGGGUCUUGGCAGGAGAAUACAUUCAUGACUUAAUAGAUCUUUUUAUAUUUCAUUUAGAGACCCUUCCAUUUGACUUAUCAAAGUCAAGUAUAUUUGAUUUCCUUAACACUGUAUUUUAUUAUUAAUUGUAUCUGUGUGUAUCCAUAUUAAAGUCUUCCGCCAGGUGUGGUGGCUCACUCUGUAAUCCCAGCAUUUUGGGAGGCCAAAACAGAAGGAUUACUUGAGGUCAGCAGUUGGAGAGCAGCCUGGCCAACAUGGUGAAGCCCCAUCUCUAUCAAAAAACACAAAAAAUACAAAGUACCAGGAGUGGUGGCACACGACAGUGAUCCCAGCUACUUGGGAGGCUGAGGUGGGAGGAUCACUUGAGCCCAGGAGGUGGAGGUUGCAGUGAGCCAAGAUCACGCCAUUGCACUCCAGCCUGGGUGAUAGAGUGAGACUCUGUCUCAAAAUGAAAUAAAGUCCUUAUAAGAAGUAUCCUCAUGUUUACUAAGAGGAUACAAAAUGAAAGUAUAAAAAUCUCCAUUGUUUUUAAACAUUUUAUCACAAAGGUCAUAAUAGGGUAAUCUCAAUUUCUUAGCCUGUGUGAGCCUCUGUUUAUUUCCUCUGAGACUUAAAUGAGACAAUAUGAUACUUUACCCUGGAAAAUCAUGAAUGAUAAAGAGCAAAGUGUGCUGAUUAGAGUAUUUUUCUCAACCUCUAUUGCCCUUUUGGGUUCUUUUCUCAAAGAAUUACACACACGGAGCUGCAUUCUUCUAUGAAGAGCUCAUAAAUAGAAUGAUUUCCCAACAAUAUUGAAUCACCAAAGGGUGAAAACCUGAUUCUAUUCUGAUCCCAGAAAAUAAGUAACGGUUGCUUUUCUGUUAGUGAAUGGAAAUAAAAUGGUUAAAAUGUAAUAAAACACCUCUGAUCCUUCUCAUUUUGUAAAAGCAAAAUGAGAAAGGAACACUUAGACUAUGCCAGAAAGAGAAUAGGAUGUGGGCUUAAAGAUGAAAGAAACCCUAGAAAAGAAAUUAUUAGAAUAAUGAGGAGGUCAAGAAAAGAUCCACAUGAACACACACGAACAAAAACAGAUGAACUUGUUUAAAUCACAGAACAAUGAGCAUGUAUUGCCCAGAAAAAUGGAGGUAACUAGAACUCAAACAAAUAUCAUAGAGCAUUUGAGGAAAAGACAGAAAACUUGUUAGGCACAGAUUGAAGGAAAGGACAUUCUAGGAAGGAGAAAUAACAGAAAUGCUAUAUAAAUUUAGCUAUAGUGCUGCAUUUAUAUAGCAUUUUACUGUUUCAAACCAUUUUCAUAUUAUCCCAUUUAUUCUCCAAAAGAGCCAUAAAAUAGAGAGUUUAUUUAUUCACUUGCCUCGUUAAAAUGGAUUCCAGAGGCUUAGUAUGGGAUGUCGAGUAUGACGAGACUAAUAAGAAAAGUGAGGCAAAAGAAAAAAUAAAACAAAAAUAGAUAUUAUGUGAAGUCAGAAAUGAAUAGUUAUUAAUGAUAUUAUUAACAUUACAUUAUUAAAUAUUCUUAGAUUAAUAUUAUUCUGAUGCUAAAUUAUUAUUAUUAGUGCUCUAUUACCCCCAACAAGGUCAAAUGAGUCCCAGGUCAACUAAAGAGUGGCAGAUUCUAGACUUAGAAUCAUUUAACUGGUGUUCUUUCUUUUAAAAUCAUCAGCAAUUACUAAGGGGGGGCAGUCCCUAAAAAUAACAGAUAAAAAAAGCAGCCUGCAAGCUCUCAAAGAAAUUUUGAGUUUUUUGCAGAUUUACUUCUGUAUGCAUUUUCUACAACCACUUGAAUAAUGGAUCAUCGCACAGUAGUUGCUCUAAAUCAAUGUAAGAUUGUCUUAGGAGAGAAUCUUGUGAAACCAGAAGGAUCUGCGGGUUACUUACCUCUCCUCUCAUUCUUUUGUAGAUUUCUCCCUAGACCAGAGGUUAUUUUGGGGCUUUCUCAUGAAUACAGAUAACUGUGCAGUACUCUCUAGGGUUUUGGUAGCUUUGCGAAGUAAUUAAAUAGUAAUGCUCCUGAGAUGCCGCUACUGGGCAGUGACUGGGGGAGUAAGAUCAGGGGUGAGGUUUGUGAUCUUGAGGAGGAUAAUAAUGCAUUCAAUGAUGAAACAUAAGGAGGCAGCCUGAGAGGCGGAUUAAAGGGAAGGGCUUCGAAUGAGAAUGCUACACACAAGCCCAAAUCUGCUACUUAGCAUAUGUUUGUGGGCAAGUUACUGUUCCUCUCUGCUAUUACCCUUUAUCCCAUGCAAAAUUGAGAUAAUAGCCAUUACUGCCUUGUGCAGUGGAUAUAAAAAUUAAAUGAGAUAAAGCAUGAAAACAUUUAGAAGAGGGCUUGAUACAUAGUGCUGGAAAAGAAAAAAAGCUCUAUUAUGAUUUCACAAGUGCUGGAAGUGACUUUCUGAUAAAAGGGCUUUAAUUGACUUCCUUUAUCUCUUCAACCUGCUGACUUAUGGUAACGGCAUACAGACUGUGCACAGGGAGGCCCUUGUGUCAGAGAGGCAUCUGCCCAUCACCCAGCCCUUCCCACUGACUAGCAAAGCAGGUGGGCUGCAUUUAACAAAGAAUACAGGAAGGAAGCAAAACCUCCCAAAGAAACCAAUUGACUAAAACUUCGCACUUAAAGACACCACUUUGAACACAUGUAAAAGCCAAACCCAAAACAGAUUUAGUUUGAAGGGUUGUGUAUAACCCAUAAAGAGGAGCAAAGCAAUCUUUUCAAUAGACUACUGGCCUGCCUAGUAUAUUUGCUUCCCAAAGAAGGAGAAGCUCACUCAAGAGCCUCAAGUCCUUCACUCAGCACCAUUUCUGCUAUUGGAGGGCCACAAGUAUACUGCUACAGCCAAAACCAGGAGAUUGACCUUCCAGAACAGACCUCAGAAUGUGCACAUCCAGGAGAUGGAAUAGAAGGGCACUGAUCGUGGAUCUUCCUAAUCCACCUCCCUUCCCUUCUCUCACCUAUGCAUCUUCCCAGGAAGUCAUCUCUGCACGAAAGAUAAAUUGAAAUGUAUUGUACAGUGUUCAUUAUUACUAUUUUAAGAGCUAUUUAAUUGCCACUUUAAGGUCUUUGACAUUCUCUUUUCCAGUCUUUCUGUUUUAUUUAUCUGAAUGUUUAAAUAUAUAUUAAGAACUUUCAAAAAUACACCUGCCCUCAGGUGAAUUCUCAGUUCCCUCAUAUUCCUCAACCAUGAAUUAUUCUACUACAAGAGCUUUGUGAAUUCUAAUGCUGAUGGCUGAGGAAGGAUUUCUGUACUUUUUAUGUGUACUUUCUUGGAUCAAGAAUAAAACCUUGAAAUGAAAUUAAUGUUGUAAAUGAGCUUUGUCAUAACCUUCCUAGAUGGAAAAUACUUA
rnacentral:lncRNA from 1 species